CAGCUAAUACCUAUCUGUUUCCUGUAUAGUCCUCUGGUAGGUUCUAAGUUCAAGAGAGACAGUUAUGUGUCUAGAUAGAAGUAAAAUGCCGUGAAGGUUUAGGAUAAUUAAAUUACUCGUAAAUUGGAGUACCCAGGAAAACUUCCUGGAGGAAGUGGACUGUGCUUUGUGUCUUGAAAAAUAGGUAUCGGAAUGGUUUGUGGGUUUGGUUGAAAGCUAUGGAAAGGAGAGAGAGUGAGAGAAGAAGAAAAAAAGGUAUUUUGCCUGAGGACUUGAAGCUUUUUUUCCCUUUUCGUCCGCUUCACUGACUUUCUCACACUCAGAUUCCCUGCAGCCUGCCAGAGACGUGGUGGCUGCCCUGCCAAGAGCUAUCCUGGGAGGGCUAUUGAAAAAGCCUCGCGAAGUGACUAACAUUACUAGCAAAGAUGGAUUUUCCAGUUGAGGACCUCAGCUACCUGCGGGUGAGUGAUUUGGACAGUGUUGCAGAAUAUGCCCAGCACAGAGCAUGGUUAAAUUCCAGGCUUGCUGCACUGUGAGUCUGUCUCCGAUUUGCUCAUCACUCUACAACCUCUGGAAAAGAAGAGAUCUUGAUUUCUGAGUUCCAGGAGAUAGGAAGCCACUCACAGGGGCCACACAGAAUUGUCAGCCUGCCUCUCAGUCAACCAAGCCAAGUCACAUGUCAUCCCUUCUUUCUUAUAAUUGCCAACCUGUUUCUCUUAUUUGUUCUCUAAAAGGAAGAUUGGGAGAGAGAAUAUUUCCAGUCCUGGAAUCUGCUCCAUCGAUACUGGGUUUUUAUCGCAACCAGAGAAGGUGUGAUGCUAGGAAUAUAGUAAAGGCAUUGGAGCACAAAGACAUUGAGCUGCUGGCUGACUUCACGUUUAGCAGAGGGAGAGCCCCUGGAGACAGAUAUGGCCUCCAACACCCCUGUAGCCUCAGGGCCCCUUAAACACGAGAACAGGCACCAAGUGCUUCAUCAGCCCGGUGGUUGGUUUGUUGGUAUAUGGCAUAUGGCUCCUUGCAGCCCAAUUCCACAAAUGAUUAUGAAUAUGUGGAUCUGUUGCAAAGGCUGCCUGGGGCAGAGUACCUGCCCUUCAACUGCUUGAACAAAGUUGAACCAAAGUUCAAAGAACAAAAGUUGAACAAAGAAUUACAAAGCUACCCAGUGUCUUACUUCUAAUAUCCUUCACCAAUAGCUGGGUCCUUGUCUCAUCUCUCUCACCCACAGCCAGCACAUGUAGGACACUUAGUAGGUGCUUUGUGAAUAUUUACUGAAAGGAUUGAUGAAUGAAUGGCUUGUUCCCCUCUUUGGGAGGAAUCACAGAUGUACCUGUAGCUCAGGGCCUUCCCAGGACUGGCUGGAGCUAUGUGGAUGCUGUGGGCUCUGGAUUUUCCUUUUAGGAGCUGGGCUGAUUACAGUUGUUGGUGGUCGUCACCUGUUAUGGGUUGAAUUGUGUCCCCU